ensembl:antisense
CAGGAGCAGAUUCUGACCUCACUUCAAGUGUUCUCCUAAUCUACAUGAAAACAUGGUGUUCUCCCCUAUAAUCCAAGUUCACAAACAUGCAUUCUAAAACAGUUGCCUGGGGGUGAAUCUAUUACCUGCCACACUACAUUCAAAGAGAAUCCAACAUAAAUGGCAUUAUAUACUAAUAUUUUGGUCUGUGGACCAGAAGUUUGGCCCAUCUUUUUUUUUUUUUUUAAUAAUAUUAACACAGAGGUAAGAUUUCUACUAGGAUUAACAGGAGGGGUCACUUAUUACCCAAUUAAACAAGUAUAAACUCUUAAAAAGUUUGUCCUAAAAGUUACAAACCGGAAUUCUCUUCUCCCUUCUACAGACAAUGAAGAAAGUGAGUAGGGUAGAAGGCAGCCCUCUGUCACUACAGUCACCUAGUGACACCACUACAGAGCAGCAGUGGCCAUGGUGGGGUGGCUCAGCUUUAGAGCAAAUUAGGAUCGCUGGAGCAGUGUGCUUCUGGGACCAAGUAUUAUCUUUAAUUUUUAGGAAAACAGCAUAGAAAACGCUAUAUUAUGAACAAGAAUUUAUUCAUCUAUAGAAGAGUAUUUAGUUUGCUUUCACAAAUAAGAUCAGUAACAUAAACUUCACAGAACUACAUUUAUUCAACUGGCCUUUACAUCCAUUACAUAAACUCAGAUAGAGAAAUAAGGAACCUAGUUAUUUUAAUACCUUCUAUCAAAUACUAUCAUGUCAAGCGGGUUGCUUUUAGAAAGACAUACUAUACCCAACACAUUUAAUAUGAGAAAAAUGCUGUGAUGUAGUUAAUCCUACUAUAAAAGUUAUUAGAACCAGUCAUAACUUUCUUUGGCUUUUAAAGCUGCUACAUUAAGUGGAAUGAUCUAACUCAACUGUUCUUUCCCCUUCUGCAGUAUCAGAUAAUUAACUUACUCAAACUUUACUUCUUUUAAGCCCUGCUUUAACACUGUAAAAAUAGCCACAUCUCACACAAAGAACUGUCCCAAUUAAGCCUAUUUAGCAAGAUAAAGUUUGGCUUAUUAACUUUUAAAUACUAUUUUGACUAGUAUAUAAUAUAGUUUCUACUUUCCUUAAGUGCUUUUAAUACUACAUAGAGAGAAAUGAGACCAAUAACUUUGGCAUUAGCAGGUAAUAACAUAAUCAAUUUGAAAUAUGGAACAGAUUGUCAAAGAAUAUCCUUUUUAAUAAGAGGUUCUCAUGAGUUUACUCUUGGUGGAAAAAAAAAGUUGACUAUCAGACUAGUUUAAAUAUUUUUCUUACACGCUUAGUCUGAGAAUGAAUGCAUACUGUUAUUUUCUUCCUUUGAAUCUUAUUUUUCUAAAUAAGAAAGUUAAACUUAACAAAUUACACACUUUCAGACAUCAAUACAGGUCAAAACACCCCAACUAAAUGACUCCUUGUUGGGGACUGAAACCAGGGCUUCACAACUGCUACACACGUGGUCUAACUAAAGUCACACCCUAAUCCCAGUUCUUAUUUACUAAAGAAUCGUAUCACCAAAAUAUGUAUAUUAGCUAGGUGUCUAUACAGUAAGAUUAAGAGUUUCUAAUUAAAAAGGAGCAGCAUAAAUUUACAACACUAUUCAUUAUUCAUAAUGAUUUUAAUUAUUCCUAGGAAAACUAACCUGUCUUCUUAUAAAACUUAACUUAAAAGGCAUAGAAUUUAUUCUCUUUAGCUAAAAAUAAAGCUAUCCAAUUAAAAACUUUCAUUCAACUUACUUUUUUUAAAAGAUUACCACAUUUAGUUCAAGUUUAUGCCCUUGAUCGCUUUCCAAGUCACAAAAUCCCUCACUUUAAGAUCACCACAUAUAAAAAAUAUUUUAAAUUACUCAGAGUACAAAAGUUUUAAUACUCAAAGAGUAACUUUAAUAUUUCUCUGUAAAUAAACAAGGUCAGAAAGCAAACAACAGGUAUUUCUCACUUAACUAAAAUUCAUUUCCAGAUACAAUGUGUAAUAGGCCAACAUUAAAAUUUAGGUGAGCAAGAGAAUGUUAUCUUGUUAUCUUACUGUAAGUUCUGCUUACUGUGACUGCUCUGGCACAGAGUACAGACAACUAGCUAAUCAGCAAAUCACUUACUGGCUUGGAUAAAGAAGCUAGGCAUUAUCUAUAGGUUUUAGCUGUUGGUCCUUAAAAAUGAAAAAAAUAAUAAUAAUAAAUUAAAAAGCAGGGGCUGGAGAGAUGGCUCAGUGGUUAAGAACACCAACUGCUCUUCUGAAGUCUCUGAAUUCAAAUCCCAGCAACCUCAUGGAGGCUCACAACCAUCUGUAAUGAGAUCUAACACCCUAUUCUGGAGUGUCUGAAGACAGGUACCGUGUACUCACAUAUAAUAAACAAACAAACAAACAAAUAAAUCUUAAAAAAAAGCUAACUGGUUCUUUACAGUAUUACUUUCUUUAACAAAAAAAAUAGUUAAAUAGCAAAACAGACAUUAUUAGGCUAAUUAAAUCUGGAAAAAUAUAACCUAUUAACCCAAGAAAUAAAACAAAAUUAUGUGGUAAGGAAGUUUGUGGUUAGCCACAACUAAACAUGUUUUCUUGCUACAUUUACAACAAGCAAACACAGAUGUUGGGCAUGGUAACCCUAAAGUUUAGAAAUUGCCUAUCUGUUUCUAAUUCUGCACUUUAGUUUUGUUACAUU